UCAUCAAGAGUACAUGUUUUGUCUCUCUGUCGAGCAGCUGAACUGCUCUGGGAACAGACGUCAACAUGGUCAUCAGUGCAGACAAACGGCUGUCCUGAAUAUCCUUAACACAUCAUAAACAUAAACACACUGUCAAGGUGAACAGGUUGAAGGAUUCAAAUCACAGUGAGCCUCUAAACGUGACCUCACCUUGUCUGAAAGGUUGUACAUAAAUCUUGCCAAGGACUCUGCAACAAUAAUGACGUUACGCUUGAGCUUUCUGAUGUCCACCUGUGCCCUACAUUCACAAAAAAAAAUGUGAAAAACAUCUAAGUUUGUCUCACACGGUGUCUAGGAUAGACCCUCUUAGCUCCGAUUUGGCGUUCUCAAUGUGCGACAGAGUGAAUCCUGGGAUACGUCUCAUCCCGAAGCGUUCAUGCUCC